rnacentral:tRNA from 1 species
GGGCCGGUAGAUCAGACUGGUAGAUCGUCUGAUUCGCAUUCAGAAGGUUCGGGGGUUCAAAUCCCCCCCGGUCCACCA